rfam:Myotis brandtii contig300301, whole genome shotgun sequence.
GGCCUCCCUCUGUGGGGCGAUCGAUCGCAGAGCCCCCCCAUCAAUUGCCCCACAGAGGGGGGCC